rnacentral:rRNA from 1 species
CACGUAGGGUGCAAGCGUUGUCCGGAUUCAUUGGGCGUAAAGGGCUAGUAGGCGGCUUAGCAAGUCGGGUGUGAAAACUUCAGGCUCAACCUGGAGCGGCCAUCCGAUACUGCUAUGGCUAGAGUCCGGUAGGGGACCACGGAAUUCCUGGUGUAGCGGUGAAAUGCGCAGAUAUCAGGAGGAACACCUAUGGCGAAGGCAGCUCGCUGGGACGUUACUGACACUGAGGCGCGAAAGCGUGGGGAGCAAACAGG